rnacentral:rRNA from 1 species
UACGUAGGAGACGAGCGUUGUCCGGAGUUACUGGGCGUAAAGGGUGCGCAGGUGGCGGCGCGCGUGGGGGGUGAAAUCGCCCGGCUUAACUGGGCGGGGGCCUUCCAGACGGCGUGGCUUGAGCAGCGGAGGGGGACGUGGAAUUCCGGGUGGAGCGGUGAAAUGCGUAGAGAUCCGGAGGAACACCGACGGCGAAGGCAGCGCCCUGGACGAGACCUGACGCUCAGGCACGAAAGCUGGGGGAGCAAACAGG